GGGGCUGAUACGGAUUAGACAGCAGGUCGAGUGGGAAUGUAAGCAUGCCGAGCGUUGUGAAGCUGGCUCGUAAAUCCCAAACACACCGCCUAUAAACGGCAACAACUACGAUUACGCAAUAGCAGCCUGAUAGUAGCUAUCAGCUGUUCGCUGUUUCCCGGGAAGCAACGCCCGUUAGCGUCCCCAAGGAAGCAUCAUCAAAAUACGGGAUAAGCCAUGUAAGGCCCUGGUGCAUGGACGACAAACAAAAGGGCUCAGGUGCGCGAUAGGGUCGCCUGUUGCCAGUCGCAAUCCGAAUCCAAAACUACAGGAUAAGCAUGUAGAAAGCGUUCUUGCUGCUUGUUUGGACGAGGGUUCAAAUCCCUCCAGCUCCACAC
rnacentral:tmRNA from 1 species